rnacentral:rRNA from 1 species
CGUACACUCCUACGGGAGGCAGCAGUGGGGAAUAUUGCACAAUGGGCGCAAGCCUGAUGCAGCCAUGCCGCGUGUAUGAAGAAGGCCUUCGGGUUGUAAAGUACUUUCAGCGGGGAGGAAGGCAAUACGGUUAAUAACCGUGUUGAUUGACGUUACCCGCAGAAGAAGCACCGGCUAACUCCGUGCCAGCAGCCGCGGUAAUACGGAGGGUGUAAGCGUUAAUCGGAAUUACUGGGCGUAAAGCGCACGCAGGCGGUCUGUCAAGUCGGAUGUGAAAUCCCCGGGCUCAACCUGGGAACUGCAUUCGAAACUGGCAGGCUUGAGUCUUGUAGAGGGGGGUAGAAUUCCAGGUGUAGCGGUGAAAUGCGUAGAGAUCUGGAGGAAUACCGGUGGCGAAGGCGGCCCCCUGGACAAAGACUGACGCUCAGGUGCGAAAGCGUGGGGAGCAAACAGGAUUAGAAACCCUGGUAGUCC